rnacentral:lncRNA from 1 species
GAAGAGGCCCAACAAAACACCCUAAACCCACCCACUUAAUGCCAAGGGUAUUUUGGUCUUUUGUCCCUCCUUUGUAAUUGACUAUAUAAGUCAUUUGUUAGGGCUAGUCUUGUGGUAGUUCAUUCAUGAUAUUUUGAGAACACAAGACUUGUAAUAUUUUGAACUUUUCUCUUCCAUUGGAGAAGCUCAAAACCAAAAUUCCCAAUUGGAGUGACACUUGGGUUGAAUCUUGGCUAGAAACUAGGAUCUUGAGGUCAUCGAGUUCCUCUUGAUCCAAGUAAGAGCUUGGUGAUAAUAUUAUUUAAUCUUAGGGUCCUUUCAUGUUGUUAGGGUUCUUAGAUUCUUGAAUAUUGUAUGUCAAGUUACUAUCUUUAAUUUUGUAAUCUUAUUGUUUGUGUGGUAACAUAGUGAAGCCGUGUGGGGCU